GAGCCUAUAGCUCAGCCUGGUCAGAGCACUGCUCUUAUAAGGCAGGGGUCCUCGGUUCGAAUCCGAGUAGGCUCA
rnacentral:tRNA from 1 species